UACGGAGGGUGCAAGCGUUAUCCGGAUUCACUGGGUUUAAAGGGUGCGUAGGUGGAGUGGUAAGUCAGUGGUGAAAUCUCCAAGCUUAACUUGGAAACUGCCGUUGAUACUAUCAUUCUUGAAUAUCGUGGAGGUAGGCGGAAUAUGUCAUGUAGCGGUGAAAUGCUUAGAUAUGACAUAGAACACCGAUUGCGAAGGCAGCUUGCUACACGAUCAUUGACACUGAGGCACGAAAGCGUGGGGAUCAAACAGG
rnacentral:rRNA from 1 species